rnacentral:rRNA from 1 species
AUCGAACGCUGGCGGCAGGCUUAACACAUGCAAGUCGAACGAGUGGCGGACGGGUGAGUAAUGAUUGGGAAUCUAGCUAAUGGAGGGGGAUAACUACGGGAAACUGUAGCUAAUACCGCGUACCAUAGGAUGAGCCCAAGUGGGAUUGGGUAGUUGGUGGGGUAAAGGCUCACCAGGACGACGUACUCUAGCUGUGCUGAGAGGAGGACCGGCCACACUGGGACUGAGACACGGCCCGUACUCCUCCGGAAGGCAGCAGUGGGGAAUAUUGCGAACUGGGGGCAACCUGACGCAGCCAUGCCGCUUGAAUGAAGAAGGCCUUCGGGUGGUAAAGUUCUUUCGGUAGCGAGGCGUUAACUACAGAAGAAGCACCGGCUAACUCCGUGCCAGCAGCCGCGGUAAUAC